GGACACGAUUUCGGCCACAAUUUGCUACACUUUCGGGCAACCUCGAUUGUAAAACCCUAGAUGUAAAGCCGUUCCGAGGCCUUUUCCAGCUGCAUCUCUACAAGGAACGACGAAGAUGACCAUGAUGAUGCAUAAGCAGAACUACGUACCAGUGAAUCGUGAAUGGUUGCCUGCCUUCCUUGGCGAGAGGAUGCAUUUUGCUUAUUUUCAACCUCCCAAAACUAAGAACAAAAAUAUCUACUCGCCGAAAAAAGAAUUUUCGGAAUGUUUUCGAUCUCUGGAACUCCCUUUGUUUUCCACCUCUGCUUCUUCUAUUGCCCCCUUGCCGGUCACAAGAGUGGCAGCAAAGUCCAAAAGUAGCAAAGGUUUUCUAACUUUGGCGGGAAAAUAGCAAAUGUCUAGGGUAUUUGAUAUUUUCUUAUAAUUAGUCAACAAGUCGAUUUCUUUCUAUUUCUUAUUGUAUACUUGUUUCACAAGUUUCCUUAUUUUCUAUGUUAAAGUUAAAACUAA